rnacentral:snoRNA from 1 species
CCGCACUGUUCGUAACCUGGUUCAGUCUCAGUGUGAACUCUGGGUUCCAUUCCAGUGCCAUAGUGAAUUCCAGUGAGGCAGGGGAGCAGUGCCUGUUUGUGCUCGCUCCCUGUUCACUCUCUGGGAACAUUU